AAAAAGAGAGCCAUAGCUCAUAAAUAAAGAGAAAGAAACUUUGUAGCGCUGAAGCAUCUCCUUUUGUGUGUAUUUUGAAUACAUUCUUUGUGAGAAGUUUAAUUUCUCUUAUCUUCCCUAUUAUAUCCUUGAGUGUUUUAUAUUUUGUGUCAAAUAUUCAACAAAUCUGGUAAUAGAACAUCAACUAAGCUAUUUAUAGGUAAAUAAAGUUGAAAAUAAAGUCAAUAUUUGCUAGCUAGAUUACACACUUACACUACUUGUCCUACUCUCGAUCAUACAUAGAUGACGCCAUCAUUUACUUAAUUACCUAAUAUGUGCAGAUGGACCGUGGCUUAAGAUAAAGUUUCAUCCACAAAAUAGCAUCACAAAUUUCUUUGGAUGAUGCAGCUGCUAUAUAAUCUCCAACAGCUAUUUCUAUUUCUUAGUUUUGAAGUAAUUGAGUCUAAUAAACUCAACAUCCUCUCUUAAACUCAAUUCUCCAAGGUCUUCAUUUCAUGUACGAUCUUCAAUCUUCUAAAAAUAUCGUGAUUUCAAAUACGAUCUUCAAUCUUCUAAAAAUAUCGUGCCUCAAUAUAUUUGCAAUUUGAUAUUGUGACUUGCAAUACACCAACUUCACAUCAUAUUUGUUCACGUACUCCCGAAUAAAAUGAUAGCGGGUAUCAAUAUGCUUUCUUCUUUUAUGGAACACUGGAUUCUUCGCAAAGUGCUAUGACGGACUUGUUAUCAACAUAUAUCUCCGUCAGGCCUUUUUGUGCAAAUCCCAAAAAUUGGGAGCAUGUGUACAAACAUGACAUGGAGUUGGUGUAUUGCAAGUCACAAGAUCAAGUUACGGAUAUAUUUACGGAACUACUAAAUCACGACGUGUUUAAAAGAUCUAUGAUUAUGCUUGAAAUGAAGACUUGAAGAAUUGAGUCUAAGGAAGGACGUUAAACUCAAUUACUUCAAAAUUAAGAAGUAGCUUGGUGGAGGUCACGUUGAAGCUGCAUCAACCAAAUAUUCUGUUGAUGUUAUUGUGUGGAUGAAAGUUUAUCUCUUCGUGACUAAAUGAAAGCCACGCUCCAUCUACAUCAUUAGGCGGUGAAUUUUGGGGAUAAUAUUGGAUGUCAUCAUCUAUGUAAAUCAAGAGUGGGACACGUAAUGUAAGUGUGUAAUCUAGCUAGCAAAUAUUAACUUUGUUUUUAACUUCAUUUACCUAUAAGUAGCUUAGUUGGUGCUCUUUGUAACUGAUCAAAUAUUAGAAUCAAGAGUGAGUAAGAAAUGAGCUACGGCUCAUUGAUAAAGAGAAAUAAACUUUGUAGUGCUGAAGUACCUCAUUUGUGUGUAUUUUGUAUACAUCCUUUGUGAGAA